GCCCCGAAACUUGUCUGUUCGGUGUUCGACAGAUAGACUUUUAUUUUGAAGGCGAUGUCUAGCAGGAAGUCGGCCGUCGGCCAUUUUUGUCGUAAUCACAACAAGCCGUGGGCAGCUAGUGCUAGUCAAGUGUUCAUCCAUGGUCAUCCUUGUUUCUGUUUGUGCCUUCGACAUCAUCGUCUGUAAGUUUCCAUUUAUAUUUUAAAGCUCUAUCAUAUUUUCGUAUUAUUUAUGAGGAGUCUUUAUUGAAAGUACGACUGUUUAUGUCGUAUUUUUUCCGUAUCGCUUUUCAGUUUUACUCCAUGUUUUGGGAGAACACUGCAAUAAAAAGGAGCUUUGGAAGCUAUACCCUGACUCAGUGUCUACCUUAGCAGGAGUUAGGCUUACUGCUGAAUUGGUGUUAGAAACACACACAAGGAGAGAAGGAAAGUAAAAAGACGAUACGCAGCUGGCAACACAAUACACAGCAGCAGACUACAUGAACAUGGACAACGAACAGAAUAAAAAUACUACAACAAAAGGCUUCAAGUCAUCUCAAAGUGGAUCGUCGGUCAGUCGUAAAAGCUCUAGCUCAACCAAAUCAUCAGUCAGCGCUGCUGCUGCAAAGGCAAGAGCCAAAGCAGAGGCUGCUCGUGCACGUGCAGCAUUUGCAGAGCGUGAAAUCAGUAUCAAGGUGAACAAAGCAAGACUAGAAGCCAGCCUCGAUGCCUUGCAGUUGGUAAGGGAAGCUGCAGCUGCUAAUGCCCAGGCAGAAGCUUUAGAGGCAGCAGCGGAGAUUGAGGAAGAGGAGCUCCGUAGCAAAAGGAGCUUCCCUGUCGUGGAGCAAGACACACAAGAACGCGUAAGCGAAUAUGUUCGUGACCAAACUACACAUUUUGACAAGCUCCCUGAACCUGUAGUCUUCCCAGAGACCGCAGAGCGAUCUAUUGAGCCUCACCUUAACGCGCCAACACCAUAUGUUCACAAAGAAGAAGAAUAUAUUAUGAAAGAUUCUUGGCCAGCCCCACCUCAACUUCAACAGAGACCAACAUCACUUCAGCGUUCUCAGGCAAUACAUGAAUCUAAAUCAUCAGUCCAACCGCCCACCCAAGAGAAUUUCCAAGUCAAAAGAGAGACAGACACUUACAACACCAAUCCCACAUCCAAGCUAACUUUCCCAAAGUACUCUGACACAUCUCACAUGUACCAAACCAGUCCAGAGUCUUCAGUUAUGUUGGACAUGGGAAAGUACCUGGCACGCAAAGAACUUGUUUGCACGGGCCUAUCAAACUUCGAUGAUUGUCCUGAAUCGUACAGAGCAUGGAAGUCCUCCUUCUUCAACACGAUCAAAGAUUUGGAUCUGACAGCUAGUGAACAGUUGGAUCUGCUUUCAAAAUGGCUUGGAAAAGAAUCAUCUGAACACGUGAGACGUCUGAGAGCAGUUAACAUUGGCAACCCAAAUGCAGCUCUACGAACAGCUUGGGAAAGACUUGAUGAAUGUUUUGGCGCUCCAGAAGUCAUUGAAAAUGCGCUUUUCGCAAAGCUCGACAACUUUCCUAGAAUCUCGAAUAAGGACAGCCAAAAAUUAAGGGAACUUGGAGACCUUUUAAAAGAGUUAUUGUCAGCAAAAGAAGAUGGAUACCUGUCAGGCUUGGCAUUCUUGGACACUGCUCGUGGCAUAAAACCAAUCGUGGAAAAAUUGCCAUUCAACCUGCAAGAGAGAUGGCUUUCUCAGGGAUCAAUGUACAAGCAAGAUCACAAGGUCAGUUACCCGCCUUUUUCUUACUUCACCUCCUUUAUCUGCUACCAAGCUAAAACAAGGAAUGAUCCCAGCUUUACCCUUUCUGGAAACAACCUAACAUUUGAAAGAGCAAUGCCGAAACAUAAAGCUCCUAGAACAGUGGUUUCAGUGCACAAGACAAAAGUUUCUACUGAUGUUACACAAGAUGAAACAGCUUCCGAAGAGGACGUGUCGAAGCAAUGUCCAAUCCAUAAAAGGCCUCACCCUUUAAAGAAAUGUCGGGGCUUCAGGCUAAAAACUCUUGCAGACAGAAAAGCAUACUUAAAGGAACAAGGCAUUUGUUUCAAAUGUUGCUCAUCAUCCUCCCACCCAGCUCGUGAUUGCAAAGCACGCCUGAAAUGUGACGAGUGUGACAGUGAAAAUCAUAUAACGGCUCUUCACCCUGGUCCACCACCAUGGGCAGCUAGAGUCUCAAAUUCCCCGAAGAACGAUGGCGGGGAGUCAGAGUUGGAGGAAACCACGAGAACUCCAGUCGUAAGUUCUCUGUGCACCAAAGUGUGCGGGGAUCAUCUUAAAGCAAAGUCGUGCUCAAAGAUCUGCCUCGUUAAAGUAUAUCCAGACAAUCAACCAGAGAAAGCCGAAAAAAUGUAUGCCAUGCUCGAUGACCAGAGCAACAGAUCUCUAGCUCGGUCACAGUUUUUUGACAUCUUCAAAAUCGAGACAGACGCAUACCCUUACACCCUCAAAGCAUGUGCUGGCUUAGCCACAGUCUCUGGCAGGAAAGCAACCGGCUACCAUAUCGAAGCAGUUAAUGGUGGCGUUAACUUGUCGCUGCCAGAACUCACAGAAUGUGACGAUUUACCAGACAAUCGUGACGAAAUACCAACUCCAGAGGCUGCUCUCCACCACCCCCAUCUAAAAAGUAUUGCCAACGAAAUCCCAGCCUUGGACGACAAUGCCCAGAUCCUUCUUCUGCUGGGUAGGGACAUUCUUCGCAUUCAUAAAGUGAGGCAGCAGAUUAAUGGUCCUGGAGAUACUCCUUUUGCGCAAAGACUAACAGUGUUAGAGUCCUGACAGCAUUUCCAGCAGGGGACCAUGCUAAAGACAUUAAAGAUCUCUAUCUCGGAACAGAAACGGCGCCCACCCAAAGAAGUCUUGGUUUGAGCUGGGAAAUCAAAAUAGACACUUUCACCUUCCAAGUGUCAGUCAAUGACAAGCCAUUCACACGUCGUGGGAUUCUUUCUACAAUAAACAGUCUUUUCGACCCGCUUGGCUUGGUUGCUCCUGUGACCAUUCAAGGAAAGUCACUAUUGAGAGAGCUUACUCUUGAAGGAACUGUAUGGGACGUUCUUCUUCCCCAAGAAAAACUUAAAGUGUGGGAAACAUGGAGAGAUUCUCUUCAGGAAUUGCAACAUCUUCACAUUCCUCGUGCUUAUACCACCACUUCUCCUUCCAAGGCAAAGCAAAAGGAGAUCUGCAUCUUCUCUGAUGCCUCUACAAAGGCUAUUGGUGCUGUCGCAUACCUCAGAACAACUAACGAGGAUGGCCAGAUCCACGUGGGCUUCAUCUUAGGAAAAGCCAAACUUUCUCCUCCCAGCGAACCCACCAUUCCCAGACUGGAACUUUGUGCGGCAGUGCUAGCUGUAGAAAUGGCUGAACUCAUCGUUCAAGAGAUUGAUCUUCCACUUGACGCAGUCACCUUUUAUUGUGACAGUAAAGUGGUGCUGGGAUAUAUACAUAAUCAGUCAAAACGUUUCUAUGUGUAUGUCCACAACAGAGUUCAAAGGAUCCGGCAAUCCACAGACCCAAAGCAAUGGCGGUCCAGCCUUUCUAUACAAACCACAAGCAGCCACUGAGCAUCAACAGUCAUUUGAAAUCAUCGAUCCAGACUCAGAUGUGGAGAUCCGACCACAAGUAACAAGUUGCGUGACGGGCCAAAGAGACAAGCGCUUGGAUCCAAAGAGAUUUGAAAGAUUCUCAUCUUGGAAGUCCUUGCAAAGAGCAGUGGCAACUCUUCUCCAUGUAACUCGUUCUUUUAAGUCAACAAACCAGGAUGUCACUGUAUGUUCUGGAUGGCACCUGUGUUCAAAGCCUCACAGUGUCGAUGAGUUGUCAAAAUCAUCUGAAGUCAUCCUCCGUGCUGUACAAAGAGCCUGCUUUUCUGAAGAAUACGACUCCCUCUCCAAGGGGCAAGACGUUAACAAGAAAAGUUCAUUGUCAAAACUAAAUCCUGUUAUAGCCCCAGAUGGCUUGUUGAGGAUUGGAGGGAGACUGAAGCUGGCAGAUCUCAGCGAUCCUGAAAAACAUCCAAUCAUUCUGCCAGGUAAACAUCAUGUGUCCACAUUGCUCAUAAGGCAUCAUCACGAACGGGUUGAACACCAAGGCCGAAGUUUCACAGAGGGCGCUGUACGAGCCGCUGGCAUUUGGUUGAUUGGUGGUAAGAGACGCAUAAGCAGUACCGUUUUUUUCCGUGUAUAGUGCGCCCCCAUGUAUAGUACGCACCAUAAGAAUGGCAUGCUGAUGCUGGAAAAAAGCUUGUACCCAUGUA